YCCAAACGUUAUUCGGAAUUACUGGGCUUAAAGAGUUCGUAGGCGGUCAAGAAAGUGGGGUGUGAAAGCCCUCGGCUCAACCGAGGAACUGCGCUCCAAACUACUUGACUUGAGGAGGCUAGAGGUAAGCGGAACUGAUGGUGGAGCGGUGAAAUGCGUUGAUAUCAUCAGGAACACCGGAGGCGAAGGCGGCUUACUGGGGCCUUUCUGACGCUGAGGAACGAAAGCCAGGGGAGCGAACGGGAUUAGAUACCCCGGUAGUCCUGGCCGUAAACGAUGAGCACUGGGCCGGAGUUCUGCAUAGGAUUCCGGCCGUAGCGAAAGUGUUAAGUGCUCCGCCUGGGGAGUAUGGUCGCAAGGCUG
rnacentral:rRNA from 1 species